ACAGCAGCAGCCGCGGGAAAACGGAGGGGGCUAGCGUUGUUCGGAAUUACUGGGCGUAAAGCGCACGUAGGCGGCUUGGUAAGUUAGAUGUGAAAGCCCUGGGCUCAACCUAGGAAUUGCAUUUGAUACUGUUUGGCUUGAGUUCGGGAGAGGUGAGUGGAAUUCCCAGUGUAGAGGUGAAAUUCGUAGAUAUUGGGAAGAACACCAGUGGCGAAGGCGGCUCACUGGACCGACACUGACGCUGAGGCGCGAAAGCGUGGGGAGCAAACAGGAUUAGAUACCCGCGUAGUCCCUGUCUCUUAUAC
rnacentral:rRNA from 1 species